AAAAAGACUAACGGCUUGAUGAAGUCUUGAAACAAAGACUAUGAACCACAAGGCGUAAAAAACUAUGUCUGCUUGAUAAAUACAAGUCUUAGAAAGUAUACAAAGACUAUGAGUUGGAUGGGUAAUAAUGACUAACUCUUGAGACAAAAUCAGUCUUAACAUAAAGACUAAAUCGAAAACAGUUUCUGCUUGGUAAAAAGUCUAGACAAGGACUAU
rnacentral:lncRNA from 1 species